CGGAUUUUUAUGUAAGAAGCUCGUUUGGCAAAUCGAGUAAUCUCGUAAAAAGUGGAGAAAAUUGAUGAAAUUAUAUAAGAUAAGCGUGGAUGCUUUGCGAUUGGAAAGCAAUUAAGAAGAGUAAUUAUUACGUGAAUUUUAAUAUAUAGGAAUUGAUAUUAAAGGAAACCAUGAAGCCUGCUUGGAAACCAGGGAGUAAUUUACGACUGAAAUAUCCAAGGUUAAUAACGUCUGUCAAUAUCGAUAAAUGGGUAAAAAUGGAUUUGGCCGUAUUUUCUUCUUUAUUUUAUAAAAGCGUUUAAAUGUUUAUGUAUGUAUAUGUAAUCUUGAUAAUACGAACUCUACAUUGUAUCAUGAAAGAAGCUGUCGUAAAAUAAAUGAUCACCCUGAACAAUUUAGAACCAUCUUUCCGAACAUGAGAUUAUACAGAUCCUUCUUUUUCUUUUUCAAGAAGUAUAUAAAUAAUUGACAAUCAAAAUUUCGACUCAUUUGUAGAAACAUUGCAUGUACACUAAUGCCCCUCGAGUCUUAAAUAAAUUAUCUAUAGCGGCAAACUACUGCAAA